GGGUUGUGAGGUUAAGCGACUAAGCGUACACGGUGGAUGCCCUGGCAGUCAGAGGCGAUGAAGGACGUGCUAAUCUGCGAUAAGCGUCGGUAAGGUGAUAUGAACCGUUAUAACCGGCGAUUUCCGAAUGGGGAAACCCAGUGUGAUUCGUCACACUAUCAUUAACUGAAUCCAUAGGUUAAUGAGGCGAACCGGGGGAACUGAAACAUCUAAGUACCCCGAGGAAAAGAAAUCAACCGAGAUUCCCCCAGUAGCGGCGAGCGAACGGGGAGCAGCCCAGAGCCUGAAUCAGUGUGUGUGUUAGUGGAAGCGUCUGGAAAGGCGCGCGAUACAGGGUGACAGCCCCGUACACAAAAAUGCACAUACUGUGAGCUCGAUGAGUAGGGCGGGACACGUGGUAUCCUGUCUGAAUAUGGGGGGACCAUCCUCCAAGGCUAAAUACUCCUGACUGACCGAUAGUGAACCAGUACCGUGAGGGAAAGGCGAAAAGAACCCCGGCGAGGGGAGUGAAAAAGAACCUGAAACCGUGUACGUACAAGCAGUGGGAGCACGCUUAGGCGUGUGACUGCGUACCUUUUGUAUAAUGGGUCAGCGACUUAUAUUCUGUAGCAAGGUUAACCGAAUAGGGGAGCCGAAGGGAAACCGAGUCUUAACUGGGCGUUAAGUUGCAGGGUAUAGACCCGAAACCCGGUGAUCUAGCCAUGGGCAGGUUGAAGGUUGGGUAACACUAACUGGAGGACCGAACCGACUAAUGUUGAAAAAUUAGCGGAUGACUUGUGGCUGGGGGUGAAAGGCCAAUCAAACCGGGAGAUAGCUGGUUCUCCCCGAAAGCUAUUUAGGUAGCGCCUCGUGAAUUCAUCUCCGGGGGUAGAGCACUGUUUCGGCAAGGGGGUCAUCCCGACUUACCAACCCGAUGCAAACUGCGAAUACCGGAGAAUGUUAUCACGGGAGACACACGGCGGGUGCUAACGUCCGUCGUGAAGAGGGAAACAACCCAGACCGCCAGCUAAGGUCCCAAAGUCAUGGUUAAGUGGGAAACGAUGUGGGAAGGCCCAGACAGCCAGGAUGUUGGCUUAGAAGCAGCCAUCAUUUAAAGAAAGCGUAAUAGCUCACUGGUCGAGUCGGCCUGCGCGGAAGAUGUAACGGGGCUAAACCAUGCACCGAAGCUGCGGCAGCGACGCUUAUGCGUUGUUGGGUAGGGGAGCGUUCUGUAAGCCUGCGAAGGUGUGCUGUGAGGCAUGCUGGAGGUAUCAGAAGUGCGAAUGCUGACAUAAGUAACGAUAAAGCGGGUGAAAAGCCCGCUCGCCGGAAGACCAAGGGUUCCUGUCCAACGUUAAUCGGGGCAGGGUGAGUCGACCCCUAAGGCGAGGCCGAAAGGCGUAGUCGAUGGGAAACAGGUUAAUAUUCCUGUACUUGGUGUUACUGCGAAGGGGGGACGGAGAAGGCUAUGUUGGCCGGGCGACGGUUGUCCCGGUUUAAGCGUGUAGGCUGGUUUUCCAGGCAAAUCCGGAAAAUCAAGGCUGAGGCGUGAUGACGAGGCACUACGGUGCUGAAGCAACAAAUGCCCUGCUUCCAGGAAAAGCCUCUAAGCAUCAGGUAACAUCAAAUCGUACCCCAAACCGACACAGGUGGUCAGGUAGAGAAUACCAAGGCGCUUGAGAGAACUCGGGUGAAGGAACUAGGCAAAAUGGUGCCGUAACUUCGGGAGAAGGCACGCUGAUAUGUAGGUGAAGUCCCUCGCGGAUGGAGCUGAAAUCAGUCGAAGAUACCAGCUGGCUGCAACUGUUUAUUAAAAACACAGCACUGUGCAAACACGAAAGUGGACGUAUACGGUGUGACGCCUGCCCGGUGCCGGAAGGUUAAUUGAUGGGGUCAGCGCAAGCGAAGCUCUUGAUCGAAGCCCCGGUAAACGGCGGCCGUAACUAUAACGGUCCUAAGGUAGCGAAAUUCCUUGUCGGGUAAGUUCCGACCUGCACGAAUGGCGUAAUGAUGGCCAGGCUGUCUCCACCCGAGACUCAGUGAAAUUGAACUCGCUGUGAAGAUGCAGUGUACCCGCGGCAAGACGGAAAGACCCCGUGAACCUUUACUAUAGCUUGACACUGAACAUUGAGCCUUGAUGUGUAGGAUAGGUGGGAGGCUUUGAAGUGUGGACGCCAGUCUGCAUGGAGCCGACCUUGAAAUACCACCCUUUAAUGUUUGAUGUUCUAACGUUGACCCGUAAUCCGGGUUGCGGACAGUGUCUGGUGGGUAGUUUGACUGGGGCGGUCUCCUCCUAAAGAGUAACGGAGGAGCACGAAGGUUGGCUAAUCCUGGUCGGACAUCAGGAGGUUAGUGCAAUGGCAUAAGCCAGCUUGACUGCGAGCGUGACGGCGCGAGCAGGUGCGAAAGCAGGUCAUAGUGAUCCGGUGGUUCUGAAUGGAAGGGCCAUCGCUCAACGGAUAAAAGGUACUCCGGGGAUAACAGGCUGAUACCGCCCAAGAGUUCAUAUCGACGGCGGUGUUUGGCACCUCGAUGUCGGCUCAUCACAUCCUGGGGCUGAAGUAGGUCCCAAGGGUAUGGCUGUUCGCCAUUUAAAGUGGUACGCGAGCUGGGUUUAGAACGUCGUGAGACAGUUCGGUCCCUA
rnacentral:rRNA from 1 species